rnacentral:rRNA from 1 species
UCCUACGGGAGGCAGCAGUGGGGAAUUUUGCGCAAUGGGGGAAACCCUGACGCAGCAACGCCGCGUGAGUGAUGAAGGCCUUCGGGUCGUAAAGCUCUGUCAGAGGGGAAGAAAUGAAAUUGGCUAAUAUCCAAUUUUCUUGACGGUACCCUCAAAGGAAGCACCGGCUAACUCCGUGCCAGCAGCCGCGGUAAUACGGAGGGUGCAAGCGUUGUUCGGAUUUAUUGGGCGUAAAGCGCGUGUAGGCGGUCUCUUAAGUCUGAUGUGAAAGCCCUGGGCUCAACCCAGGAAGUGCAUUGGAUACUGGGAGACUUGAAUACGGGAGAGGGUAGUGGAAUUCCUAGUGUAGGAGUGAAAUCCGUAGAUAUUAGGAGGAACACCGGUGGCGAAGGCGGCUACCUGGACCGAUAUUGACGCUGAGACGCGAAAGCGUGGGGAGCAAACAGGAUUAGAAACCCUAGUAGUCCA